UACGUAGGGUGCGAGCGUUGCCCGGAUUUAUUGGGUUUAAAGGGUGCGUAGGCGGCUUUGUAAGUCAGUGGUGAAAUAUGGCAGCUUAACUGUCAAGGUGCCAUUGAUACUGCAGAGCUUGAGUACAGAUGAGGUAGGCGGAAUUGACGGUGUAGCGGUGAAAUGCUUAGAUAUCGUCAAGAACACCUAUAGCGAAGGCAGCUUACUAAGCUGUAACUGACGCUGAGGCACGAAAGUGUGGGGAUCAAACAGG
rnacentral:rRNA from 1 species